UUUAGCAUGAAAAUGCUGAAAUUGGGUAGAAAAAAAGGACAUACAGUCGUUAAAAGAUGUUGUACUAUCUAACAUUUCAGAAUUCUAGGGUAGAACAAGUGAAUCUGAAAACAGAAAUAGCUCCAUGUUUUCCUAGCCCAUGAUCUCUGUUAUUCAAAGUUGGUUGUGGUCAAAUAUUCUGGGGUAUUGUUGUUGUUCUAGUUGUUGUUGUUAGUCUGAGUAUUGCUGGCUUUCAUUUGGUCAUAAAUUCAUUUCCUUAAGUUGUCUUGAGGAAGAUUAAAGAAUGACUAAGGGAUGAAUCUGACCACCAGUUGUUCAGAUCCAUCUCUGUGAAGUGUUUGGUUCACAAACGCAUAAAUGGAAGAGCUUGAAUAUGUAGUUCUACUGUUGUUCGUUGCCAGUGUUGAAAGUAAAGUAUAGGAGUUAUUUUUGAAUCUUAUUUUGAUGCAUGUUGAUAAUUAAUGGUUGUAAUUGAUAGAAUAGCCUAUUAACGUAUUUCAAAAUAGUCCAGAAAACUGGAAUUUUAAUGUUC